GCCAGAACUGAUUUGAAUGCCUCCUCCC
rnacentral:piRNA from 1 species